GGAGGCGUGGCCGAGUGGUUGAUGGCGGCGGUCUUGAAAACCGUUAGGUGAUGAGCCUCGGGGGUUCGAAUCCUCCCGCCUCCG
rnacentral:tRNA from 5 species